rnacentral:lncRNA from 1 species
UUUUAGCCUCUCUAUCUGUUAGACUUACCUUUUGCGUUAUUCCCUUUGUUGAGUUAUAAUGGCUCUUGAUUUUGUAGUGAGGUAAAGAAUUGAUUUUAUGGAUUGGCCUGUGAGGUAACUUGACAAAGAUAACAUUGAUAGUUCUGAUGUUUAUCCAUGUUUCAAGGUAAAUUGAUAAUUAUUGAUUGUCACAUUGUUAAACUUCAUAGAUGUUUCAAAGUCUUAAUGCUUUCACCUAUAUCAUAUUUGAAUUGGUUGGGAUGCAGAGAAGUGGGUACUAACAGGAGAUGCAGAAGGUGUAUAAAGCAAAUUACUCAUAGCUAUGAAGGAAUGUUCGAUUGUACAUCACUUCCAGGAGCAUUAUACUUGUACCUUAGUUGUAAUUUGUCCUUUUUUAAUACUUUUAUACUGUUGAUGUUACUGCUAAAGCUAUUAGCUUG